CCUUCAGGCAAAUGUGAAUAGUUCAACUUUCCAUUCACUGUUGAACAGCAAGAUGGGUUCAAAACUAAUUUUGAAGGAAUACCAUUUAAAACUAUGGUUUCGGCAUACACUGUAAACUCGGAUCUGGUGCUUCUCCACAUGACCCACGGGUGGUGUUUCUUGUGGUUCGUGGCCUGUAAGUUGGAUGUUGAUGGUAAUUGUUUUCAGGUAACUCUGGCGGCCAAUGGAAAGUCAGCUGACUGCAGUGUUGAGGAAGAACCUUGGAAACGUGAAAAAUAAUGACCCGAUUCUCAGCCAAUUCUUGAAUAAACUCCCCAGCGUAUCUUAUGGUAAAAGAUGCUCUAAACAGGCUUCCUUUACAAAAGGAAAAAUGCAUAUAUUUCUAUGUUUACUUAAUCUGUUAGC
rnacentral:lncRNA from 1 species